UACAUAGGGUGCAAGCGUUAUCCGGAAUGAUUGGGCGUAAAGCGUCUGUAGGUGGUUUAAAAAGUCUACUGUCAAAUACGAUGGCUCAACCAACGGCAGGCAGUAGAGUACUAUUAAACUAGAGUUUGGUAGAGGUAGAGGGAAUCCCUAGCGUAACAGUGAAAUGUGUAGAUUUUAGGGAGAACACCAGCGGCGAAGGCGCUCUACUGGGCCAAUACUGACACUGAGAGACGAAAGCUAAGGGAGCGAAUAGG
rnacentral:rRNA from 2 species